UACGAAGGGGGCUAGCGUUGUUCGGAAUUACUGGGCGUAAAGCGCGCGCAGGCGGCCUUUCAAGUCAGUGGUGAAAGCCCGGAGCUCAACUCCGGAACUGCCAUUGAAACUGAUUGGCUUGAGUACGAGAGAGGUGAGUGGAAUUCCCAGUGUAGAGGUGAAAUUCGUAGAUAUUGGGAAGAACACCGGUGGCGAAGGCGGCUCACUGGCUCGUAACUGACGCUCAUGCACGACAGCGUGGGGAUCGAACAGG
rnacentral:rRNA from 1 species